GCUCGCAUGGCGUAGUGGUUAUCGCGUUUCGUUUACACCGAAAAGGUCUCCGGUUCGAUCCCGGAUGUGAGCU